UACGAAGGGGGCUAGCGUUGCUCGGAAUCACUGGGCGUAAAGGGUGCGUAGGCGGGUUUUAAGUCAGAGGUGAAAUCCUGGAGCUCAACUCCAGAACUGCCUUUGAUACUGGCGAUCUUGAGUCCGGGAGAGGUGAGUGGAACUGCGAGUGUAGAGGUGAAAUUCGUAGAUAUUCGCAAGAACACCAGUGGCGAAGGCGGCUCACUGGCCCGGUACUGACGCUGAGGUGCGAAAGCGUGGGGAGCAAACAGGG
rnacentral:rRNA from 1 species